rnacentral:lncRNA from 1 species
GGCGCUUUCCGCGCACUUCCCCCCACCCCCGGCUUGCGCUCUCCUACCCCCCAUCCUCUCCCCAGAUCCCUCCUCUCGUUCUCCUCCCAUUCUGCUCCUUCCUCCUCCCACAGUAGCUGCUGCUUCCCAGGCGCUCGGAGAUGGGCAGCGAGAGCGCGCGUAGCAGCAGCACCAGCUCCGGGGCCGCCGCCGCUGAUCUUCUCUUCCUUCGGGGCUGGACCGCGCGCCUUCCUCAGCACGCCGCCGCCACGCAGCCCUCGGUCUCCGGGUCAAUGGCGCUAUCCCCCUAGGAUGGAUUACUCUGUGCUUGGGAAGGGGAUCUUCAGAGGAUUAUGAUGUAAGAGUUCAAGGAUUGGAUAAAAAAUUGGCAUCAUAUAAAAACCAGCCCUCUAUUUCUGCCCACUUAUAAUAAUCCAUGAUAUGUUCUUCAAAUUGUAAGUAAAUAAGUUUAAUGGUGGAGUUUGGGAGGGAAAAUAUGAAAGCAGAUCUU